CCUGAACCGAGACCCCCCUGCCAAAUCCGUCACCCUCUUGCAGCUGUUCCAGCCUCUACCCUCCUGUACCAGGCAGCCCCCAGAGGUGCUGGGACAGAGGCUGGACCCGCUGCCCCAGCGCACCUGGAGCACUGCAACCUGGACCGAUGAUGGCUCAGCCCCUGAGCAUGGCAGGCAGCACCCCUGGACAAGGGCCUAGUAAGCUGGCACUGGGAGCAGCCAGGGAGAGAUCCCUUCAGCUGCCCGAGUGCUGCCGUCACUGAGCACUAUCCUGCAAGGGAUCUGUGUGGUGGGGUUCCAGUGGAUCCUGUCCCAGCAGAGCUUGCCCUGUUCCCUCAGCACUCAGCCCUAGCCCCCAAGUGAAACCCCUGCUCGUAGCCCAAGCUGCCCACCUCGUUGCCCUAUCCCCGGUCAUUUCAGGCACCAGCUGCCCCUCUGCAUGAGAAGGCAGGAACCAUUGCAACCUCUGUCUGUCUUCUGUGGUGGGGGUGGUCCCUGCUAAGACAGAUUGUGGCUGUGGGUGGGAGAAGGGAGGGCUGACCCUGGAGGAGCAUGCAGACCCCCUUAAGUGUGAUAAGGGAGGUGUUGGGGUCUGCUGGAGGGGAUGAAAGGAGGGCUGUGUCUCCCACCUCAGCAGUGAGGCAGCUGCAGUAGUGUCUAGGUAUCUCCACCACAGUGACAUGGGUCCAGGUUGUGAGAAGAACACAGUAGGGCGUUGUGUUUUAGGUUCCCCCUUAUUUAUGAGAUAAUUUAUCUGUAUUUAUUUAUUUAUUUGUCUGUGUUCAAUUUGUGUUGUGGAAAUAAAUCCUUUUUCUAGUAA